GCUGAAGUAACUCAGUUGGGAGAGCAUUAGAUUGACGCUCUAAAGGUCCCUGGUUCAAUCCCAGGCUUCAAAAGGCU